GCUGGGCCUCUCUCCGCAGCCGCGAGACCCGCGCUUGGCGCAUAGGCCGGUUCUAAUUUACAAGAACACCGCGGCCUGAGGCCGGAGAGUCCCUUCAACCCGGGAGGCGGCGGCUGCAGGGAGCCGAGACGGCGCCAUUGCCCUCCAGCCUGGGCAAAAAGAGCGAAACUCCGUCUCAAAAAAAAAAAAACAUGGCCGAAACCAGGAAGCUGCGCGAUGGCGCCACGGCCCCUCUUCUCCCGGCCUGUGUCCGGAAGGUUUCCCUCCGAGGCGCCCCGGCUCCCGCAAGCGGAGGAGAGGGCGGGACGUGCCGGGGCCGGAGCUCAGAGGCCCUGGGGCCGCUCUGCUCUCCCGCCAUCGCAAGGGCGGCGCUGACCUGAGGCCUCCCCGCAAAGGUCCCCGAGGCGGCGGCGGCGGCGGGCUGUGAGAACCGCAGAAGAACGCUGGGCGCGCAGCGACCCGUCCACCCCCGCGAGGAGAGACUUCCACAGAGGCAGCGUUUCCACAGCCCAAAGCCACGUUUCUAGGGUGAUGCAGCCCCAGUAAGUUCCUGGCGGGGAAGCUCACGGCUGUCAAAAGAACUCUUCGCUCCAGCCGGCGCACGAAGGGGAGGAGGGCAGGAGGCUGCCGCCCGCACAGGUCAUCUGAUCACGUCGCCCGCCCUAGUCUGCUUUUGUGAAUCUCCACUUUGUUCAACCCCCACCCGCCGUCUCUCCCUCCCUGCGCCUUCCCUCUAACCUUAAAGACCCAGCUACCUCUACGCAAAUGGUAGCUACCUCUGCGCAGGUGGAAGUUGAGUUCGGUUCACGCGGGACCCUCUUCCCUGUGGCAAGCUGCUGAAGGAGACCUGCUGUUACUGCUUUAGCUGCUGUUCUGCUUAAUCUCAGACAGCUGGAAGGUAGUAUUCCGCCCUCGCCCAGCCACCCGAGUAAAUGAGAAUGAUGACUGACUGAGACCCUGAUGGUGGUGGCUUAGGCUUAAUCUCAGACAGCUGGAAGGUAGUAUUCCGCCCUCACCCAGCCACCCGAGUAAAUGAGAAUGAUGACUGACUGAGACCCUGAUGGUGGUGGCUUAGGCAAGAUGAACGUCUGAAAUGGAGGCCCAGGGCUGCCACGAUGGCUCUGUAGUCAUCAGGGAGGGAGCUCCUUUUAUCUUGUUACCUACUCCCCUCUUGUGCCCCUUUCUUCCCUUGAUCUAAGAAGGUUGCUCCGGAUCUCGCCAUCUGGCCUGCGUUCAAUCAGCAGAAGCUUCCUGGAGGAGCAGGAGGAGGCACUGUGCUCGCAUCACAUACCAGUGGCCAGAAGUUGGCUUCAGGGAAGCUCAGGAAAUAGGAUGCGAGAAGCCAUGAGACCUCCCCAAACUCUGCAGUAACAGAGUCAACAAGACAAUGGCUUAAAGAUGGAGAGACCAGUUGAUCGGUCACACAAGCUGUUCCACGAUAAUUCUUGUGUCAGAAGGGGAGGCUGACUACCAGGACCACUGGCCCCACUUCCAGCCCCUCCAUUCUGAGUACACUUCAGAGGGCUCUGGCAGGGUGAGGGGGUCUUGGUGGUGCCACAGAGAGUAAAGGUCUAGCACACCCAUUGUGGAGAUAUUUCAUGGGGACAACCCAGUGACUUCACUUGAAGUAAAGUGGGAUUUUCCAACCUUGA
rnacentral:lncRNA from 1 species